AGAGUUUGAUCAUGGCUCAGAUUGAACGCUGGCGGCAGGCCUAACACAUGCAAGUCGAACGGUAACAGGAAGUGCUUGCACUUCGCUGACGAGUGGCGGACGGGUGAGUAUUGCUUGGGAACUUGCCUUUGCGAGGGGGAUAACAAUUGGAAACGACUGCUAAUACCGCAAAACGUCUACGGACCAAACGGGGCUUCGGCUCCGGCGCAAAGAGAGGCCCAAGUGAGAUUAGCUAGUUGGUAAGGUUAAGGCUUACCAAGGCACCA
rnacentral:rRNA from 1 species